AACAAAACCAAAAACAACGAAUCCGUCAUCGUCGUGUCAAACGCAAAAGAAAAGAACCAUCGAAGAUCAGAAGAACGCAGAAAAAGAUCUUUUGCUUCGCAACAUCUUUUUGGAUUUCGACAUUUCCAAAACAGUGAUUUGUGGUUCGUUUCUAGUGCAAUCUGAAGAAACUUUCCUCGGUGUGAAAAUAGAUGUUUGCUUUUGUGUUGAAGGCGAGUGAGAAGAGAAAAAAAAAGAUGUUGACCGAUUGGAUUGAGUAACUUUUUUUUUGCUUCCCGUUCUGGUCAAGUGGAAGAGUGGAAUAAUAUUAUUACCUUUAGUGGCUGCUUUUAGCAGACUGCAAUUUGGAGGACACCACCAUUAGGGGCUUGCAUAAUAGCCAACGCAAGCAAAGUGGAAACAAGUAUUAUAAAGUGCGUCAAGUCAAGGCCGACAAAUAUGCCCUUAGACAGUAGCGUAGUUGGGGGUGGUUCCGAGAGGGCGAAGCAGAUUUCCUCCUCGGGGUGUGUUUGCGGAGGGGCUGUCGGUGUUGGAUCGGCUUCCGGUGUCCCCAGCUCCGUCGUAGGUAGCGUCGGGGGUGUAGCCCCUGGGGGAAAGCAACUGUCGGCGAAGAAAUCGCUCAAAUUGUCCAGCUUGGCCGACGACAUGAUUGGGCCCCCUUCGGCCACCGGCAGUCACCAGGACGAGUCGUUCCGGGUGCGGUUGCACCAUCUCUUCGCGCAGAUCGAGAGGGAGUUUGAAUUGCUGCACGCGGAGAAUUUGAGCCUGCAGGAAAAGCUGGAAGCCGUCGCCGGGACACCACGAGACUCCACGGUCGGGGAUCGCUUGUUACCCCUUCAAGACUCGUACGAAGCGGACGGAGCGGUCAACAAGAGCUUCAAAUCAAAGCUGGGAAGCGCUGGAAGCAAGGUCAAAGCUAGUCACAAGAUUCGGGCCCAAACCAGUCGGAUUGUUUCCAGCUUCAAGGCACAGUCGGUGGUGAGUUCCUUGGUCAGGGAAUUCUGCGGCCAUAAGGAUGGCGUUUGGCAGGUUAGCACCAAGGUAGGUCAACCGAUCAUCGGAACAGCUUCAGCCGAUCACAGUGCAUGUAUCUGGAGCAUUGAUACCGGUCGGUGCCUGCUGCAGUAUCAGGGCCACAGUGGAUCGGUUAAUUCGAUCAAAUUUCAUCAAACUCGCGAUUUGGUACUUACCGGAAGUGGGGACGCCACGGCCCACAUAUGGCAGGCGGCCGUCAACUGGGAGAUUCCCUCGAGGAAGGGACAUUCAUCCGAAGAGGAAUUGGACGAUGAAGAGGAACCGUACGAGGAGAAGGAACGGAUCGACGUCCUGCGGACACCGAUUUGCGAGUUCUCCGGUCCUGGAGGGCACACUUCGGUAGUCGUAGCGGCUGAUUGGCUUCCCGGGGGAGAUCAACUUAUAACGGCCAGCUGGGACAGGACGGCCAUCCUGUGGGAUGUGGAGACGAGAGAACCGCUGCAGCCACUUUGUGGCCACGAUCACGAGCUGACGCAUGCUUCGGCCCACCAAAGUCAACGGUUGGUGGUUACCGCCUCGCGGGAUUCAACGUUCCGACUGUGGGACUUUAGAGAUCCGAUACCGGCCGUGUCGGUGUUCCAGGGACACACUGAGAGCGUAACAUCCACCGUGUUCACCCGCGACGACAAGGUGGUCUCCGGCUCAGACGACCGCUCCGUCAAAGUGUGGGAGCUGCGCAACAUGCGCUCGGCCCUGACCACCAUCCGGACGGAUUCGGCCGUCAACCGGUUGGCCGUGUCGGCAGGGGGAGUGAUUGCCAUACCGCACGACAACCGCCACAUCCGGUUGUUCGAUCUGAACGGGCAGCGGAUCGCCCGGUUGCCCCGGACCAGCCGGCAGGGCCACCGUCGGAUGGUAUCGUCGGUGGCUUGGACUGAGGAUGUCAGCUCCUCGGUGUGCAACCUGUUUUCGUGCGGAUUUGACCGGCGAGUGUUGGGUUGGGCCGUCUGCUUGCCACCGAAGGACAACUGAACCAUGGCCCGGUACUCGCAAGGAAGGAGUAACUCCUAAGUGGGCUUUUUAGCAUUAUUAGCACGAAGGAAAUGGACAGCGCAGAUAUAGACAUCAUAUAUGUGUGUGUGUGCAUGUAUCAUAGUAGACGUUCGAACUGAGAAUCGUUGGUUAUUUCGUAUUAUAAUGUGAAACUACCGUCAACGUACCAGUCCACGCUCAUGUUCCAAACGCCCGCUCACGAGUUUAAAAAGUAAGGUAAUUUGAGUAAAUACACAAAAAAAUGUCCACAGUAUGAUUCAAUUUGUCGAUAUGAACCGUAUAGCGGCAAUAGUUUUAGAAUUUACUUUGUGUAAACUUAUCUUUUUCAGUGUGAGUGGGCUACUGGAACAUGAGCGGGUACUGGUGCAAUGAUGGUAUAAAAAAAUUUCUCUAGGAGCUCCUACUCCAUUUCCCAGUUAUUCCAGCCAUUUUAUAUGGAUUCUUUGAACAUUUAAUCCAAAAUGUUUCCAAGGCGUUGCACAUUGCGUUGCUCCAUAGACAAAAAUCAAAUUUCAAGUUAUUUUAUUCGGCGAUAAUUAGUAUCCACAUGUGUUUAUAAAUAGCAUCUGCUAUUUAAUCAAGUAUGUAUAAGCUAUACAAAGCACUAAAACUACUACAACAAGCGUCGAAAAUGUCAGUUGUCGUAGUAGCAGAAAAACUAAAUUUUGUCGCAUGUUUUCAGCAUUUGUUUCAACUAGUACUAGGAGAGUGCUGAAACCAAAAUAUUUAAUCAAAAUCUAGAAGAGAACAUGGUUGAAGGUUGGUGAAGUAUAUUUGAUGGGAUAAGCACACCAAUUUCACUUUGCAUAUGAGAAAUCGGCAUGAUGAGUUGGCUAUUGAAAUCAAACUUAUGAAAUACUUACUUGUAACUUUGAUUAUCGAAGUUAAGACCUGAGGGGCCUGUUCGGGUUUUUAAAAAAAGAACGCGGACUCGUUGACGGUCGAAACAGAAGUGAGAAAUAAUUUUAUUUCAAUUAUAAUGAAAAUAUAAAAUGCAACCUAAGCAGCAGAUCGGCGUUGACAACGGCCUAGAUUCCUCACGGGUUGAUUGCAGCGCGUGGUGCAGCGUCAGCGCAUCGCAGGCGAUCGGUAUCCGGUGUGUUAUAUUGAUGAGUCAAAUGAAUGGGUGUUAACUACUCCCCCUUUGAAGUGCCUCCUGGAUCAACGACUGGUAGAACUGUAUGUGUCAGCAAGUGUCGGUGGUUGAUAAAUGUAAUGUAGCGGAGUGGCUUGUGGUUUUUCUUGAGGUGUGAUGAUGUUAACUGAAGCUGUUUGUUGACGUGCCUUAACGAAGAUGUAGAAUCC